AGAGUUUGAUCCUGGCUCAGCACAAACGCUGGCGGCGCGCCUAACAUAUGCAAGUCGCACGUGCAAGUCCCGCCAGGGACAAGUAAACUGGCGACCGGGUGAGUAAUACAUAGGUAACCUACUUCUAAGUUGGGAAUAACACUUCGAAAGGACUGCUAAUACCGAAUAAUAUUUUAUACACAAGCUGUACUAUCAAAGAUGGCCUCUCUACAAUGCUAUCGCUUAUCAAUGGGCUAUAUGCACCAUUAGCCUACUUGGUAGGGUAAUGGCCUACCAAGGCAAUACUGCUUAGCUGGU
rnacentral:rRNA from 1 species